AGAUUGAACGCUGGCGGCAGGCCUAACACACGCAAGUCGAGCGGUAGAGGGGUGCUUGCAUCUCUUGAGAGCGGCGGACGGUGAGUAAUGCCUAGGAAUCUGCCUAGUGGUGGGGGAUAACGUUCGGAAACGGACGCUAAUACCGCAUACGUCCUACGGGAGAAAGCGGGGGACCUUCGGGCCUCGCGCCAUUAGAUGAGCCUAGGUCGGAUUAGCUAGUUGGUGAGGUAAUGG
rnacentral:rRNA from 1 species